GGCACUAUAGCCAAGUGGUUAAGGCGACAGAUUAGAAUGUACAUUUGAAGAGCAUUGACAUUCAUCUGUUACUCUCUGAGUGCGCAGGUUCAAAUCCUGCUGGUGUCG
rnacentral:tRNA from 1 species